UACGUAGGGGGCAAGCGUUGUCCGGAUUUAUUGGGCGUAAAGAGCGUGUAGGCGGCCAGACAGGUCAGCUGUGAAAACUCGAGGCUCAACCUCGAGACGUCGGUUGAAACCGUCUGGCUAGAGUCCGGAAGAGGAGAGUGGAAUUCCCGGUGUAGCGGUGAAAUGCGCAGAUAUCGGGAAGAACACCCGUGGCGAAGGCGGCUCUCUGGGACGGUACUGACGCUGAGACGCGAAAAGCGUGGGGAGCAAACGGG
rnacentral:rRNA from 1 species